GGCGCUAGUGGUGUAGUGGUUAAGUGCGCGACCCACGUAUAGAGGCUACAGUCCUCAAAGUGGCCGUCCCGGGUUCGAAACCCGGAGACCUUUGCCA